rnacentral:rRNA from 1 species
UACGAAGGGGGCUAGCGUUGUUCGGAUUUACUGGGCGUAAAGCGCACGUAGGCGGGUUGUUAAGUCAGGGGUGAAAUCCCGGAGCUCAACUCCGGAACUGCCUUUGAUACUGGCAAUCUUGAGGCUGGAAGAGGUUAGUGGAAUUCCCAGUGUAGAGGUGAAAUUCGUAGAUAUUGGGAAGAACACCAGUGGCGAAGGCGGCUCACUGGCCCGGUACUGACGCUUAAGAGCGAAAGCGUGGGGAGCAAACAGG